rnacentral:rRNA from 1 species
GAGAAGUGAAACAAAUCGGUACAAGCAUAACAAAGCAGAGUUUAAACCUCGUACCUUUUGCAUCAUGGCUUAGCAAGAAACUAUUGAGCAAAGAGUACUUUAGUUCAAUCCCCCGAAACCAAGCGAGCUACUCCAAGACAGCCUAUUAAGGGCGAACCCGUCUCUGUGGCAAAAGAGUGGGACGAGCUUUGAGUAGAGGUGACAGACCUACCGAGCUUGGUUAUAGCUGGUUGUCCAAGAAUUGAAUAGAAGUUCAGCCUUUUGCCCUCUACCACCCCCUUGUUCAUCUACGCAAGUACCAAAGAAGACAAAAGAGUUAGUCAAAGGGGGUACAGCCCCUUUGAAAUAGACACAACUUUACCAGAAGGGUUAAGAUCACACAACCUCAGGGACUAUGUUUUGGUUGGCCUAAAAGCAGCCACCCGCUCAGAAAGCGUUAAAGCUCAUACACCUAUUUACCCUAUUAUUUCUAUAAUAUCAUCUAAACCCCCUACCUUAUACUGGACCUUCCCAUAAUUUUACAUGGGAGAGAUUAUGCUAAUAUGAGUAAUAAGAGAGCCAGCCUCUCUCCCCGCACAAGUGUAACUCGGAACGAACCAACACCGAAAACUAACGGCCUCAAAAAGAGGGUAUUGGAACAACACAGAUAGACUGCUAGGAAACCAUCCAAACCGCCCCACCGUUAACCUUACACUAGCGUGCCCCCAGGGAAAGACUAAAAGGAAAAGAAGGAACUCGGCA